rnacentral:rRNA from 1 species
GACGAACGCUGGCGGCGUGCUUAAUACAUGCAAGUCAACUGAACUUGAGAUAGCAAUAUUUUAAGGGAGGUGGCGCACGGGUGAGUAACACGUAGGUAAUCUGCCUUUAGGUCUGACACAACCCCGAGAAAUCGGGGCUAAUAUCAGAUGAUGCAGCGGCUCGACAUCGAGACAGUUGUUAAACCUUCGGGGCCUAGAGAUGAGCCUGCGUCUGAUUAGGUAGUUGGCGGAGUAAAAGCCCACCAAGCCUGCGAUCAGUAGCUGGUCUGAGAGGAUGAUCAGCCACACUGGGACUGAGACACGGCCCAGACUCCUACGGGAGGCAGCAGUGGGGAAUUUUGGACAAUGGGGGAAACCCUGAUCCAGCCAUGCCGCGUGAGUGAAGAAGGCCU